AUUGAACGCUGGCGGCAGGCCUAAGACAUGCAAGUCGAGCGAGCGGCGGACGGGUGAGUACUGUCUGGGAAACUGCCUGAUGUAGGGGGAUAACUACUUGAAACGGUAGCUCAUACCGCAUACCCUCAGAUGUGCCCAGAUGGGUUUAGCUUGUAGGUUGGGUAACGGCUCACCUAGGCGACGAUCCCUAGCUGGGCUGAGAGGAUGACCAGCCACACUGGAACUGAGACACGGUCCAGACUCCGACGGGAGGCAGCAGUGGUGAAUAUUGCCCAAGGGGCGCAAGCCUGAUGCAGCCAUGCCGCGUGUGUGAAGAAGGCCUUCGGGUUGUAAAGCACUUUCAGCGGGGAGGCGUUACCCGCAGAAGAAGCACCGGCUAACUCCGUGCCAGCAGCCGCGGUAAUUC
rnacentral:rRNA from 1 species